CGGGGCAGCCACCGGGCCGGCUCCCGGCGGUUCCCGUGCAGCUCCCGGCGCUGCUCCCGGAGCGCCUCCCGGUACCGGCCCCGGCGGGGCAUCCUCCCGGUGCGCCUCGGGAGCGCACGGCCAAGCCCCGCCGCCGGCCCGGGCCCGAGCGAUCCCGAGCACCCCCUCCUCGGGCCGGCAGCAUGCCCCGCGGGCAAGCCUGGACGCAGGCGGAGGUCAGGAGCCUCCUGUCGCGGGUGGAGGGCACGGGGGAGGCCGCGCUGCUCAUGGCCUCCACGUCGCGUCCCAACGAGACGCUCUGGCGGGAGAUCUCCUGGGGUCUGUCGGAGGCCGGCUACGAGCGCACCGUAGCCCAGUGCCGCUCCAAGUGGAAGGCGCUCAAGCAGGCUUUCCACUCGGAGCGGGAGACGUGCCGGAGGACAGGACAGCACUCGCCCCGGCUGCCGCCACACUACCGAGCCAUGAAGGCUAUCUGGAAGGCGGCCGGGCGGCCCGUGUUUGGUGAUCGGAGGCUGCCAGGCAUGGUGAACCUGUCCUCCAGAAGGCGCAGGUCAGGCCUUGCCACACGCCCUCCAUCCUCACCAGAGACACCAGAGCACAACGUUGGCGGGGACACCUCCAGCACACUGCUUUCACCCGUGCUGCAGCGUGCAAAGGACGAGCCAGAGAGUUGUAAGUACUGAGCUGCCCUGCUGCACUGAGCUGCAUGGCCACGGCUCCAGCCCAAGCCCAUGCCAGCGUGAUAGGAGUGGGAGGCUAAGAGGAUCAGGGGAUCCAUCACAUGUCCCUCAGCAGGGAUGGUCAACGAUGGGUGUGUUUGGACUUGUCUCUGCUGGCUUUGGCUCCAAACCAGCCCCAGAGCAUGUGGCGAUGGUGACGGCUGGGAUAGGCCAGGAGGGGGUCCCAGCCUGAGGGAAUGGCAAGGCUGCUGGCUGCGCUAUGGCAGAUCAUGAGGCGAGAGGUCUGGA
rnacentral:lncRNA from 1 species